rnacentral:rRNA from 1 species
CUUUUAGACCUUCCUGGAGGAGCUUGCUAUCCAACCGAUAACCCCCGUCACACCUCACCAACUUUUGAACACCCAGCCUGUAUACCAUCGUCGUCAGCCUACCUCUCAAGAGAAGUACACAAAAAGAACUCUUCUUCCCUACGUCAGAUCGAGGUGCAGCUAAUAAGUUGGGGAUUAGUGAGCUACAAUAUUUCAACAAAUCAAACUAAAAAAGAUUAUGAAUAGACCUUCUAAAACAGUCCUGAAACAGGAUUCAGUAGUAAUAGUUACCAGAAAAUAACUAUGAACUUAAAGCUCUAAAAUGCGC